GCCCGGAUAGCUCUGUUGGUAGAGCAUCAGACUUUUAAUCAGAGGGCCAUGGGUUCGAGUCCCAUAUCAGGCU
rnacentral:tRNA from 1 species